rnacentral:lncRNA from 1 species
GGCCGGCAUUCGACUAUAUUUGAACAUAAGGAGGAAGCCAUUGAUUAGACCAUAUUCUUCUAAGCAAAUUAACAAGCUUCCCUAGUUGCUGGAUAAUCUCAAUUUUGAGCAUUAGUGGAGAAUCAGCAAGUUCCUACCUCUGUAGGAUGUCUUUGGGUUUGAAUCACAUUGAGCCUUGUUUACGAAACCAUGAACUAAUCGAACA